rnacentral:rRNA from 1 species
UACGGAGGGUGCGAGCGUUGUCCGAAGUUACUGGGCGUAAAGCGCGCGUAGGCGGUCCUUUAAGUCUGGUGUGAAAGGUUCAGGGCUCAACCCGAACAGUGCACUGGAUACUGGGGGGACUUGAGUGCGGGAGAGGUACGUGGAAUUCCCGGUGUAGCGGUGAAAUGCGUAGAUAUCAGGAGGAACACCGAUGGCGAAGGCAGGUCUCUGGGCACUAACUGACGUGAGAAGCGAAAGCAUGGGGAGCGAACAGGAUUAGAAC